rnacentral:rRNA from 1 species
CCCUUAGAUGUUCUGGGCCGCACGCGUGCUACACUGAGUAAUUCAAUGGGUAAGGGAACGCUAGAGCAUUACCUAAUCUUGAAAUUUGCUCGUGAUGGGGAUCGACGGUUGCAAUUUUCCGUCGUGAACGAGGAAUACCUUGUAGGCGCGUGUCAUCAUCAUGCGCCGAAUACGUCCCUGCCCUUUGUACACACCGCCCGUCGCUCCUACCGAUUGAGUGAUCCGGUGAGGCUCUGGGACCUGGACGGAAAGAGCGUUUCGCUUGUUCUGUUUGGGAAACUUGGUCGAACCUUAUCAUUUAGAGGAAGGAGAAGUCGUAACA